rnacentral:rRNA from 1 species
UACGGAGGAUGCGAGCGUUAUCCGGAUUCAUUGGGUUUAAAGGGUGCGCAGGCGGGCCUUUAAGCCGGCGGUGAAAUCGCGGGGCUCAACCCCGCCGAGCCGUCGGAACUGGGGCCUUGAGUGGGCGAGAAGUAUGCGGAAUGCGUGGUGUAGCGGUGAAAUGCAUAGAUAUCACGCAGAACCCCGAUUGCGAAGGCAGCAUACCGGCGCCCUACUGACGCUGAGGCACGAAAGUGCGGGUAGUCGAACAGG